rnacentral:tRNA from 1 species
GCUUAUAUAGUUUAUAUAAAACAAAACAAGAAUUUUGUAAAUUCAAAAAAACAACAAGUUUAUAAGUA